UCUCUCUCUCUCUUCCUGCAGACCCAAAAACACCUUCGUUCCCCUUUCUCAUAUCUCUCUCUUCUAAUAUGCAGACCCGAAAACAUAAAAUUAUUCCUUCAUCACCUUCAUCAGUUCUUCGCUUAUAAUGAAGUUUUUUAGCUCAAACUCAACAAAAACCUAGAAUUUAAUUUCUUUUUAUUUCUCAAUAACAGUUCAGCACAGAUCUGAAAAACCAUAGUUUGAAUCGAAGAGGAAAUGAAUCCUUCUUGGGUUUUUGUUUUUCGAUUCAAUUUCUAUUACUUAAGAACUUGUGUUCUUGUGAAAGAAAGAAAAAAUGUCUAUGAAUGAUUUUGAUUGCCAACUGAUUUUAUUCAAUUCCUCCCGAUCGACAUCUGCAAGGGAAAAAAACUAUUUUAUCUUCUUCUUUUAAAAUGGAUCCAGAUCCGGAAGGUGAAAUAGAAGUCUAUAACCUCAAAUAAAUAAUCGAUUUCAGUCUGUGCUUUCAAUGACAAAAUCCUUCUUGCGAUUAAUUGGCCCCUAAUUAGAUCAGAGAGGACCACGAAGAUUAUAUGCGUCGUAAGGAGGGGAUGAUUCAUGAGUUUGAAUUGAGGGAAGUUGAUCUUGAUUCAGUUGUUUCUGGUCCAAUUGAAGCUUAAAUAUGAAUUGGUAGAAUAUGAUAUUCAAAUGUUCUCUGAAAUGGGUAUCAUUGGUGUGCUGAGUUCAAAUUUUGAUUCCAUUAUUUUUAUUGAAAUUUCCAGUUUGUUUAUAUCUUUUAGAUUGAAUUUUGAGUCUCGAUUUGUAUCAAUCAAGUUCUCUUAAAGCAGCUUUGCAAAGGUUUUUCAAGCCUGAGAUUUUGGAUGAAAGCAAUAAGUACCCUAGAAAUUUUGUAUUUUGUAAUUUUCUCCAUCUUUUCUAAAAUAGGGUUUAAUUUUUCAGGCGUGAAAAGUUGGUGUCAGCAAAGAAGCAGAUGUCUAUUCUGCAAUCCCCUAAUAUACUUGUAAUCCAACUCAAGAGAUUCGAGGGUAUAUUUGGUGGGAAGAUAGAUCGAAAAAUUGCCUUUGAGGGGGGUUUGAUGCUUUCUAAUUACAUGUGCAGAGAAAGUCCGGUAUGUGAUACACUUGAUGAACGGAUUCUCUUAACCCUUUUUUGUUUUUUUCCCGUCUUAUUUAAAUUAGUUGAUUUUCCUUGUGUAUUUGCUCCCCCUUGCAUUUUUCUUUCGUUUUGGAUGUUUUUUGGCGAAUAUAGUUUUGCUAUCCUCUUGACUCAAGUGUAAAUUACAGAACUAUAAGUUACGAUGUACAAGGGACGAGAUUUAGACUGCUUAAUUUUAAUUGUAUUUUUCACAUUUGUACGUGAUAGUCUUCGAACUUAGAACUUCUGUAUGUUGCAAUCGUCAUGUCUUAGUCUUUCGAAGUUUAGAUAAUUACUAACUUGAGUGUGUGUAUGCAAAUGUUUCAUACCCUUGCUUUGAGUUCCAGAUGAAUAUAUGUAAUCCAACUCAAUAAAAAAAAUAAUCAUGCAGGGUCAAUAUUAAGGAACAUAUUAUAAAGAGCACUUCCGGUUUUAAUAGUCGUAGAACUGGAAUUCUUAAGAGCACGGGUUGCUUUAUGCAUUAUGCAAUCGUUUAUUACCGCAGUAAGCUUCAUUUUUUUGUGCACUACAUUAUUUAGCUCAUCAAUUGGACAAGCAUUAGAUGCCCUUGGUUCAGUCACUAACUCUGAUUAUUAAGUGCUGAAUUCUUAUUGUAUUAUAGGCUAAUACUCCGAAAUUCUCUGACUUCUUCGCUGCAAGUUUUAUUCUUGCUAAAGGUAUUAAGGCAAGCAAGUUUGUGUGUAAUGCUGAGAAAGCUUUGAAACUCAUUUGUUAACCAUGGAGGUUACUAUUGAAGCCCAGACUCCAUCUCUCAUCAAAUGUAUUAUGCAUCUGAUUGUGGAGAGCCUCAAAUACAGGUUGCAAACAAGGUGCACAAUUAUGAAGUGUUGGGUUAGUUCAUUUUACUGCAGGUGUACCAAGUGUGUGGGGUUAGUUCAACACCAGACAAUUUAUCAUUUUGCUGGUUUGCACUUUUCUUUAAGACACUUUGAACUUAUUGGGGAUAGUUGCUCUUCUCUUUAAGAAAUCUUAAACUUAUUAGGAUUUGUAUCGGUGUGAAAUCAGAAUUUGAAUCUAUAUGAUUUUGAA